rfam:Schistosoma rodhaini strain Burundi genome assembly, scaffold: SROB_scaffold0000347
AUUCAGCUGACGAGUCACAAACAGGACGAAACGCACGUUCGGGAU